GAUGAACGCUGGCGGCGUGCCUAAUACAUGCAAGUCGAGCGAACAGAUGAGGAGCUUGCUCCUCUGACGUUAGCGGCGGACGGGUGAGUAACACGUGGAUAACCUACCUAUAAGACUGGGAUAACUUCGGGAAACCGGAGCUAAUACCGGAUAAUAUAUUGAACCGCAUGGUUCAAUAGUGAAAGACGGUUUUGCUGUCACUUGUAGAUGGAUCCGCGCCGCAUUAGCUAGUUGGUAAGGUAAAGGCUUACCAAGGCAACGAUGCGUAGCCGACCUGAGAGGGUGAUCGGCCACACUGGAACUGAGACACGGUCCAGACUCCUACGGGAGGCAGCAGUAGGGAAUCUUCCGCAAUGGGCGAAAGCCUGACGGAGCAACGCCGCGUGAGUGAUGAAGGUCUUCGGAUCGUAAAACUCUGUUAUUAGGGAAGAUCAAAUGUGUAAGUAACUAUGCACGUCUUGACGGUACCUAAUCAGAAAGCCACGGCUAACUACGUG
rnacentral:rRNA from 1 species